GUCUCCUGUGAAGGUGGAUAUCUCUGCCCUGUUCUGGACAGACCUGCUAGUCUCCUGUGAAGGUGGAUAUCUCUGCCCUGUUGUGGACAGACCUGCUAGUCUCCUGUGAAGGUGGAUAUCUCUGCCCUGUUGUGGACAGACCUGCUAGUCUCCUGUGAAGGUGGAUAUCUCUGCCCUGUUGUGGACAGACCUGCUAGUCUCCUGUGAAGGUGGAUAUCUCUGCCCUGUUGUGGACAGACCCGCUAGUCUCCUGUGAAGGUGGAUAUCUCUGCCCUGUUGUGGACAGACCCGCUAGUCUCCAGUGAAGGUGGAUAUCUCUGCCCUGUUGUGGACCCAGACCCGCUAGUCUCCUGUGAAGGUGGAUAUCUCUGCCCUGUUGUGGACAGACCUGCUAGUCUCCUGUGAAGGUGGAUAUCUCUGCCCUGUUGUGGACCCAGACCUGUAAUGAACACCAAUGUUACUGCUAACUGUCAGAUCUUAUCUACACACCCACACAGCCGGUAGGGUUAAAUUAACCCAUACAUAACACCCUGCUGAGAGAGAGGGAGAGAGAGG
rnacentral:lncRNA from 1 species